ACCCCACUAUGCCAAGCCGUAAAAAAUUAACUCACAACAACCAACGCCAGGGUAUUACGAGCCCCCGCUUAAAACCCAAAGGACUUGACGGUGUCCCACCCUACUAGAGGAGCCUGUUCUAUAAUCGAUAACCCACGUUAUACCUAACCAUCUUUUGCCUCUCAGUCUGUAUACCUCCGUCGCAAGCCUACCCUAUGAAUGAACAACAGUAGGCUCAAUAGUCCCACACUUUAACGUCAGGUCAAGGUGCAGCUUAUAAGAUGGAAAGUAAUGAGCUACAAUUUCUAACUUAGAACAAACGAAUUACUACAUGAAACAUAGUCAUGAAGGCGGAUUUAGUAGUAAAUGGGGAAUAGAGAGCCCCAUUAAAAUCGGCCCUGGGACGUGUACACACCGC
rnacentral:rRNA from 1 species